AACGCACAUUGCGCCCGCCAGUAUUCUGGCGGGCAUGCCUGUUCGAGCGUCAUUUCAACCCUCAAGCUCCGGCUUGGUGUUGGGGAUCGGCAGCCCGGCUUCGCGCCGACGCCGUCCCCCAAAUGCAGUGGCGGUCACGCUGUAGCUUCCUAUGCGUAGUAGCACACCUCGCACUGGAAAGCAGCGCGGCCACGCCGUAAAACCCCCAACUUUUUGUGGUUGACCUCGAAUCAGGUAGGACUACCCGCUGAACUUAA
rnacentral:misc_RNA from 1 species